CCCUGUGUGGACCCCUCAUUGCUCUUUCUACAGUUGCUUGGAACAGUUUUGCUUGCAAUCAUGCAGUCCAUUUUUGUCUCUGUAUUGAUCGUCUUUGGGUGUUUCAUCUUCAACCUCACUCAAUAUUAGCUCAGGGGUCUUAUUUUGGUGGCUCGAGUCCACAUCUAUGAAAUUUUCUUCUCUCACCGUGAUCACCCACAUCCAGGCCAUGAGUUUCCGGCCCUUCUAAAAUUCAACACCAAUAACCCUGCAAUCUCUUCUCUCAUCGGAGCUCACGGUGACGAUAACCUUGGACUGCUAUGAUUGUUGGUUAUAAUUAUCAAGGUAAUGCUCUUUAAGCCCUAAAGCUUUCCAGAAGGAUGUUGGAUUGUGGUGUGAGACCAAAUACAAUUAUAUUUAUCUUGUAGUCAUCCAGGUUUGGUCAUAAAGAGCAAACAAUAUUUAACAUUAGAAUCUUAUAAAAUCAUGGGGGUACUGUAGCAUUAAAAGACCAAAAAGCCUUCUUGUUUAUGAAUAUGCAUCGAAUCAAAGCCUUCAUGAUUGGCCAGAGACUUGUAUUUUAGUUUGCUGGGUUUGUAUCUCUGUGGAUUUGUUGCUACGAUAAUCAUCCUUCAACGACUUGGGAUUUGCUUUAGCUUAUCUUGCUUCCUUGCUUGAUUACAGUUUCAAGGUGCGAGAUUUCAAGUUUUGCUUAAAGAGUCAGGAGUUGGGACUGCCAGGAUCCGAGUGUCCUGUAACUGCGAUUGUGGAUCGGAAAGGUAUAGUGAUUAAUUAUGAAGAGAGAGAAAUCAAGACUGAAUACAGAAAUUCUCACUUACCAUUUGAGGAUGUUUUUAAUAAACCAUUUAGAAAGGCCUCCGAUUAGGGGGAAAAAACACUUCGAGCGUGAUUUGUAUUGCGG
rnacentral:lncRNA from 1 species